CCAGUUUAUCGCUGUAGUCGCUCUCAGACAAAGCUAUAAUCGUUCAAAGCAAGUGAAAAGUUCAAAAGUGAAGUGUGUUAUUACAAUUAUUAAUCAAAAUGUACACCAAUCCGUUCAGUCGUACGCACAGCCAGAUUCGUCAAGCCAUCGACAAAUUCUUCCAUAUCAAUCACGAAAAAGACCAGAAGAGUAUGAGCAGGCAUUCAUCCAAUAAUUCUAUGUGUUCUAAUGACAGCAGUUCUAAGAAAUUCAUGAAGAAUAACGCCAGGAUGAUUUUAUCAGUUAAAUGACUGUACCAACUUGUUGCUGAAUGAAAUUGGAUCUAAUUUGAGAAAUGGAUUUUAAAGAUAAAAGAAUUCUUUGAAGUCUCUUUAUGGUACUCAGGCUGCAACACCAAUCACUUGGAAUAGUGACCCUGGACUGGCUCUUAUGAAAAUGUUUAUGAAGUUUUUAUAACACAUAAUUAUUGUAUAUAAGAUUUCAGAGAUGAAUAUAAGACACCAAGUUGUUGUAUUCCCGAUUUUGUUAAGAUAUAUAGAAAAAAUAAACUUUUUAUUUAAGA